GAGCGGCGAACGGGUGAGUAACACGUGGGUGAUCUGCCUUGCACUUCGGGAUAAGCCUGGGAAACUGGGUCUAAUACCGGAUAUGACCAUUGGAUGCAUGUCUGGUGGNGGAAAGAUUUAUCGGUGUGAGAUGGGCCCGCGGCCUAUCAGCUUGUUGGUGGGGUAACGGCCUACCAAGGCGACGACGGGUAGCCGACCUGAGAGGGUGACCGGCCACACUGGGACUGAGACACGGCCCAGACUCCUACGGGAGGCAGCAGUGGGGAAUAUUGCACAAUGGGCGGAAGCCUGAUGCAGCGACGCCGCGUGAGGGAUGACGGCCUUCGGGUUGUAAACCUCUUUCGACUCCGACGAAGCGAGAGUGACGGUAGGAGUAGAAGAAGCACCGGCCAACUACGUGCCAGCAGCCGCGGUAAUACGUAGGGUGCGAGCGUUGUCCGGANUUACUGGGCGUAAAGAGCUUGUAGGCGGUUUGUCGCGUCGUCUGUGAAAACUCACAGCUCAACUGUGA
rnacentral:rRNA from 1 species